rnacentral:rRNA from 1 species
GUCCAUGCCGUAAACGAUGUCAACUAGCCGUUGGGGGAUUUGAUCCUUUAGUGGCGCAGCUAACGCGAUAAGUUGACCGCCUGGGGAGUACGGUCGCAAGACUAAAACUCAAAUGAAUUGACGGGGGCCCGCACAAGCGGUGGAGCAUGUGGUUUAAUUCGAUGCAACGCGAAGAACCUUACCUGGUCUUGACAUAGUGAGAAUCCUGCAGAGAUGCGGGAGUGCCUUCGGGAAUUCACAUACAGGUGCUGCAUGGCUGUCGU